GACGAACGCUGGCGGCGUGCUUAACACAUGCAAGUCGAACGGAAAGGCCCCUUUGGGGGUCCUCGAGUGGCGAACGGGUGAGUAACACGUGAGUAACCUGCCCUUGACUUCGGGAUAACUUCAGGAAACUGGGGCUAAUACCGGAUAGGAAUCCUUGCUGCAUGGUGGGGGUUGGAAAGCUUCGGCGGUUUUGGAUGGACUCGCGGCUUAUCAGCUUGUUGGUGGGGUAGUGGCUUACCAAGGCUUUGACGGGUAGCCGGCCUGAGAGGGCGACCGGCCACAUUGGGACUGAGAUACGGCCCAGACGCCUACGGGAGGCAGCAGUGGGGAAUAUUGCACAAUGGGCGGAAGCCUGAUGCAGCAACGCCGCGUGCGGGAGGACGGCCUUCGGGUUGUAAACCGCUUUCAGCAGGGGCGAAGCUUGUGGUGACGGUACCUGCAGAAGAAGCACCGGCUAACUACGUG
rnacentral:rRNA from 1 species